rnacentral:rRNA from 1 species
UACAGAGGGUGCAAGCGUUGUUCGGAAUUAUUGGGCGUAAAGGGCGCGUAGGCGGCCUGUUAAGUCGGACGUGAAAUCCCUCGGCUCAACCGGGGAACUGCGCCUGAUACUGGCGGGCUUGAAUUCGGGAGAGGGAUGUGGAAUUCCAGGUGUAGCGGUGAAAUGCGUAGAUAUCUGGAGGAACACCGGUGGCGAAGGCGGCAUCCUGGACCGACAUUGACGCUGAGGCGCGAAAGCCAGGGGAGCAAACGGG